AAGUCGUAACAAGGUUUCCGUUGGUGAACCAGCGGAGGGAUCAUUACAGAGUUGCAAAACUCCCACAAACCAUCGCGAAUCUUACCCGUACGGUUGCCUCGGCGCUGGCGGUCCGGAAGGCCCUCGGGCCCCCGGACCCUCGGGUCCCCCGCUCGCGGGGGGCUGCCCGCCGGAGUGCCGAAACCAAACUCUUGAUAUUUUAUGUCUCUCUGAGUAAACUUUUAAAUAAGUCAAAACUUUCAACAACGGAUCUCUUGGUUCUG
rnacentral:misc_RNA from 1 species